AGUGGGAUCCCUUUUGCACGCGUGAGGCUCAUUUUUUGUCUUCACACACACAAAUACACACAAACACACACACACAGACACUGCAAAGUUUCUCAUGAUCUGAGUUGUCACAAUCAACAUGCUGAUUUUUCAUCAGUGUGGCUUUGUGCUUGCGUGUGAGUGUUUAUCGUGUCAACAUUAAUGCUGUUAAGGUUGAGGUAUUUCCUGUGUGUGCACAACAGAAUAUAUUUUAAUUCCUGCUAUCAGUCGUUUGCAGAAUAUCAGCAAAGGACGCAUAUAUGUUUGGCUGACUAAUGAUUUUCUUUUAUCUUACUGAUAUCGGUUCUUUAUCUCAGUGAUAUCGGUUAUCAUUACAUACUGAAACAGGUGACUAAUCAGGCACAUUUCGCUGCAUGGUGUGCUGCCGCAAAGAUGAGGAGCCACGAGUUUAGUUGGGUGGUUUCUCAUGUGCUCCUGUUGCCCUUUAAUCAAAGGUGGGCGCGCAAAGGUCAAGGUGAAGGGAUAUUUCACUUGCUUUUAGCACCUAUUUCAAUAUUGCGGAGUGACGGUAAACAGGGGGUGUAUGACAGGAAGUCAUGAGUCACAGCUUCAAACCCGUGGAUUUUCUCUUCUGCAGCAUGCUGAGUUAUUUAGGUUGCAUCCUCUCACUAACUGCUGUCUAGAUCACCGGAAAAACGUGAAUAACAGCAGGAAUGCAAACUUCAAAGAAGACAGAAUCGCAAGUAAGCAACAAUACCAAAAAAAAUAACUUCCUUGGUGGAGCUGGACUCUGCCUCAACUCUAGUGAGUGCAGUGGGCAGUGGACACUGGAGAGGAGAGUCAAUCAAUCAAUCAAUAACACAUACCUUCCCUUGAUUUUCCCCGUCCUGGAGUUCUUGGAGAGACUGCCUGAGCUGAGUCAGUGUGGAUCCCCUGUUCCCCCUUUGUGCUACCUGUAUAUAUCACCCUGGUGUUUCACUGUAAAUAAAUUCACUAAACUUGAUUCCUCUGAGUCCUGCCAUUGA